rnacentral:rRNA from 1 species
CGUAAGGCGCCGAAUGAGUCAUUAAAAAUUAACAUCAUCCGAUCCCUAGUCGGCAUAGUUUAUGGUUAAGACUACGACGGUAUCUGAUCGUCUUCGAUCCCCUAACUUUCGUUCUUGAUUAAUGAAAACAUCCUUGGCAAAUGCUUUUCGCAGUAGUUAGUCUUCAAUAAAUCCAAAGAAUUUCACCUCUGACAAUUGAAUACUAAUGCCCCCAAUAUCCCUAUUAAUCAUUACGUCAAUCCUAGAAACCAACAAAAUAGGAUCAAACGUCCUAUUUCAUUAUUCCAUGCUAAUGUAUUCAGGCGUUAGCCUGCUUAAACACUCUAAUUUUUCAAAG